UGCAGCCUGGGCAAGCCCUCGGGGAUCUGGAGGAAGUCGGCGGGGUCGAGCGCGCCACCGUUCGCGUGUGGGCCCACCAGCCCCUCCUCCUCCUCCUCCUCCACGAGGUACCCGCCGGCGGCGAGCCCCCCACCGCCGCCGCGGCCGCCGACAUCGUAGAACGCGGAGAGGUCGGGAAGCGAGGCCGAGCCGCCAGCGGCGCGGCGCGGCGGAGGGGGCUUGCCGCCGCUGGCACCGGCGGGGGCGCGGGGCCGGCGGCGGCGGGUGGAGGCGGAGCGGGCGAGGUCGCCGCCGACCUGCGCGACUGCGCGGCAGUGCAGGUAGUAGGCCGCGGCGGCGGUGGAGGAGGCGCCGACGAGCACCGCGAGAGCGAGCUGCAGCUUGUAGGACGAGGCGGAGCCCGAUGAGUCCAUGGGUGCCGCCGGGCUCUGCCAGCCGGUUGGGGUGCGGGCUUGGGGGGGUUUAAGAGGGG
rnacentral:lncRNA from 1 species